GAAAAUUUCCUCUUUAUUUAUUUAAUAAUUAAUACUAAAGAAAAAAUCUCCUAUCAUAUAAUCGUCUUUGGAAAAAAUAAUUGCAGUGAAUACACUUGAAUAAUUAAUAUACUGUUUUGCAAUUGCGAGAUACAACUUACUUUUGUAGAUGCUCCACCCCGAUUGAAUUUGUUUCAUUAAUUUUUAUCGUUUUUUUUAUCAGUUAUGUCUAUAUUUGUUUUAUACAAUUUCAAUCGGGGAGAAUCAGUUUUUGAAUACCCUGCGGGGGUAGAAAUAAGAUUCAUUAUAUAUAUAGUGAACUAUAGUAUACACUAUAUAUAUAUGAAAAGGUGGGGCUUGUUGAAAUCAGAUAUUAUGCAUCAGGAGAGAUGCAAAAGUUGUUCGUAAACGUCUCAUUAUUGUUUGAUAAUAUCUUUAUUAAAGAAUAUGCGGCGAGAGAGAGAAAAAGGAGAGCCGAACGAAGUCAUCCUUAUAACAGGUGUCUACGUGAGCUACUAUCUAAAGUGGAUUUCAAACCAGAUGAAGGGUUUAGGGAUGGAUGCUGAUGUGGAUAAAAACGAUCAGCGGUACGAAGGAGCCUAAAGGAGAUUUAAUAUCAUGGAAUUUUAUAUCUUUUCCUCAAAAAAAAAAAAAAAAUAAGGAUGAUUUAUCUUUUGUUCAGUGCAUCAUACAUGAGAGAUUGACGCUGAUGGGUCAAGUUGAGCAUUAGUUGAAAAGAGUUGAGAAGAGGAUGCUGUAAAUCUGAUGGAAAAGGAUAGAGAGGAUGUUAAGUGAAGAGAAAUGAGAGGUGAGCGGUAAAGAGGGGAAAAGCUUCUCUCUCUGUCUCUCUCUCUCUGUUACCGUGAGAGAUAUACAGAAAUCGGAGGGAGGAUGGCAGUCAGAAUUUAUGGCCGCUUUAUCACUUUACCGGCCUUGCCGCGUCUCCUUUAGCCACGAUGAGGGCAGGAUCUCACGAUGAACUUUGGCACUCGACUGUUCGCUACACUCGAGAAACGAAUCGAUUGAAGAUGAUCAACAAGGAAAUCGAAUGCUUUCGAGAUAUUAACGGAAAAGAAGAAAGGAAACUUCUCAAGAAGCGAGAAUUGACAUUUUUUUCUAAAAGAAAAAUAUCUUCAAGACAAUAAAAAAAAGAGUGGGAAAUAAGAAGAAGAAUCCAAAGGAUUAAUAAUCAAUAACGAAAUCAAUCAACCUGCAGUCGAUAAUUACAAAACUGUCAUCAACAAAAAGAAGUUGGAAAUAAUCAAUUUAGCUACUUUUCUUCAAGUUCCAAUGAAAAUCGAAGAAGAAGAAAGCAAAGGACCAAUAAUCAAUAACGAAAUCAAUCGAAAGGGAAGCAAUCAACAAUUACAACUGUCAUCAACUGAAGAAAUUGCAAUAAAAAAACAUUUUCUCAAUUUUUCCCCAAUUUCCAAAGAAAAUCGAAGAAAACUUUGAAGAAAAUUUUGAAAAUUGGUGAAAAUUCGAAAACUGGCGCCCUUUAUAGGGAGAGGGACGGGAGUCGGCCAUUAAGUAUAUACAACCGUGACACCAGGAGGAUGAUGGUUCCAGGGAGUAGGUAGUGCCUAGACGGCGCUCCACCCAGUACUUAGUUAACGUCAAGGUUGCGGGCAUGGGGCACGCUGUUUCCAGGGUACGGACCGCCCCUGACAAUCCAGUACCGUACUCUCAUUCGCUGGCCCAUAUUUCAUCAGGACUUCGAGCAUUAGCCUAAUCUGUCCAAAAAAAAAGAAAGGAAAAAAAUGCGGCCAUUCAUGGUAGUCACUGGAAAUCACAGUGAGGUGCUGCCAUCACCGUUGCGGAGAAAUCAUCAACUAAUUCUCUCACUUUAUAUCGAUUUUUUCUAAUAUCCGGACGUGCAUUUUCAUUGUCUCCAACGUCUUUUUUUUACCAAAAAAAAAAGUAAUUUUUGUGAACAAAACUGAAAUAAUUUGAAGAAAACUGAAAAAUAAAGUGCAAUUUUUUUUUGGAGCAAGAUUCAUUGGAGGGCAAAAAUUGUUAAAAACUUGUGAAAAACUUGCAGAAAGAAGAUGCAACUGAAUUCGAAAGAUUUUUGGAGUCAGAAUUAGAAAUCAAGAAUGAAGAGGGGGAGAUGGAAAACCAAUCGUGUAUGAUAAAUGGACACGGGUGAUAAUGGGGUCCUGAUAUCUCAUAUCCUGUAGAAGUGCGGAG